rnacentral:rRNA from 1 species
GACGAACUGCCCAAACGUUGUUCGGAAUCACUGGGCGUAAAGCGCACGUAGGCGGAUUCCUAAGUCGGGGGUGAAAUCCUGGAGCUUAACUCCAGAACUGCCUUCGAUACUGGGAAUCUUGAGUCCGGAAGAGGUGAGUGGAACUGCGAGUGUAGAGGUGAAAUUCGUAGAUAUUCGCAAGAACACCAGUGGCGAAGGCGGCUCACUGGUCCGGUACUGACGCUGAGGUGCGAAAGCGUGGGGAGCAAACAGG